rnacentral:lncRNA from 12 species
CACUGGUGUUCUUAGGGAGGAGUCUCCAAAGUUAAAGAUUUGCAGAUAAAAAAAAAUUAAAUAAAGAUUUGCGGGUGUACAUGCUGACAUUUUUCACGCGGUGCUUAUGCUAGAUUUACGAUAUACGCAGCAUUGCAAAAAUCCUGAGCUAUCCCAUUACCCCCCAAGCUGCUGCCCCAGCAGGGGUUGUAUCAGUCCGGUGUAGAAGUGCUGCUUUUAGCCAACGACAAGUUGUUCUGAUUCGUGGCUUUUCAUAUAUUUAUUCCGUACAGCGAAAACAAACCCGUCAUUAUUUAGGAUGAUGCUUUGGUAAGCAGAAUUGGUCACAUGCAAGAAGAAAAAGAAGAGAUGUUCUCGGUGCCCAGUGCUUCGAGAGCCAGCGUAGUGCAACUCAGUUGUGAAGAAUGAGACGUCACUAGUAUUUACUUUUAGCAAAAACUGUGGUCAGAACAACGGCGUCCUCAGUUAUGCGGGUGUGGCCUACACGAGGUAGAAGAAGAAGAAUCGGGAGACUGAGUAAAACAUUCAGCUGCUCCAUGUGGAUGGAGAAAAGCAGGAACAAAGCAGAGGCUUCAUUUGUUCCUGGUUGGUGCCAAGAGACAAUUCACCGGCCCUCAUGAGAUCCUCCCUGGAAGAGGACUGGUAUGGAGGAUAGGUCUACCGAUAACAGCAUCCUAGGCAAAUCUGCCUCAACCCUGUCCUCUGAGAUCAUCAGCAAGAAGUGUGUUUACCAGGAUUCCAGUUCUGCAAAGGAGGCUCCUCAAAAGAAGGAAGCAUCCACCCACCUGAGAGACUCUGUGUCAGAGAGAACCCAGAGCUUGGACGGCAGCAUACUCGCUUCUCUCCAUGUCACCUUGUGCUCUAAGGUAAGGAAUACACUCCUGUUUCUAAAUUCACUUUGAUGAGCUGAUUUAUUUGUAAUCACCCCGAUCAAAGUCCUUCUUUGUAUUGAAGUUAAAAUCUUCUAUGCAGCCUAUAAUUCUCCUUCUCUUGGGCUGGUAGAAAGUUGGCCACCAUCCUCCUCUGUGUUGUCAUGGAAAACUGGAAUGCUUCAUGAUAGCUAAAAAGAAUUAAAUAGGUAUAUCCAGGAUUCAGAAAAGUAAACCAUAGCAAGUCAGACAAAGAGUUAAAAUUUCUUUUUAUUUUGUUUUGUGUUAACAGUUUGUGAGAAUCUUGCCCUCUGCUCUGUGAUACUGCUAUAGCUGCAUCACAUAAAAAUCAUCUCCUUCUCUGCCACACUGAUAUUUGAAUAAAUUGAUGCCCUGAAAAGAUGCA